rnacentral:misc_RNA from 1 species
UUUCCGUAGGUGAACCUGCGGAAGGAUCAUUAACGAAUCUCGAAGGGGGCUGAAGCUGGCCUCUCGGGGCAAGUGCUCGUCUCCGUCGGAUCCAUCACACACCUGUGCACGUCCGAAGGGAGGGGAGAGGUCGGACGAGGAGACUCGUCCCUCUGAUCCUCUUUCUUCAGUUCAUCGACUCUGAAUGUCACUUAGAAAGUAGAAGUCUGUCUCAGUGGCAGUUAUAAAUACAACUUUCAACAACGGAUCUCUUGGCUCUCGCAUCGAUGAAGAACGCAGC